rnacentral:rRNA from 1 species
CCCUUAGAUGUCCUGGGCCGCACGCGCGUUACACUGAUGCAUUCAACGAGCUUAUAACCUUGGCCGAGAGGCCUGGGCAAUCUUGUUAACGUGCAUCGUGAUAGGGAUAGAUUAUUGAAAUUAUUAAUCUUGAACGAGGAAUUCCUAGUAAACGCAGAUCAUCAAUCUGCAUUGAUUACGUCCCUGCCCUUUGUACACACCGCCCGUCGCACCUACCGAUUGGAUGGUCCGGUGAAGCCUCGGUAUUGUGGUUCUUGCCGCUUUAUUGUGGCGUGACCGCGAGAACUUGUCUAAACCUUAUCAUCUAGAGGAAGGUGAAGUCGUAACA